CAUACCUAUUCGAAGGGAUAGGGUCGGUUUGGCCGGAUUUCACACAGGUGUUGCAUGGCUGUCGUCAGCUCGUGUCGUGAGAUGUUGGGUUAAGUCCCGCAACGAGCGCAACCCUCAUCCUUAGUUGCCAUCAGGUUAUGCUGGGGACUUUAAGGAAACUGCCAGUGAUAAACUGGAGGAAGGUGGGGAUGAUGUCAAGUCAUCAUGGCCCUUAUGGAGUGGGCUACACACGUGCUACAAUGGUGAUUACAAUGGGCUGCAAGGUCGCAAGGCUGAGCUAAUCCUAAAAAAUCAUCUCAGUUCGGAUUGUUCUCUGCAACUCGAGAGCAUGAAGUUGGAAUCGCUAGUAAUCGUGGAUCAGCAUGCCACGGUGAAUACGUUCUCGGGUCUUGUACACACUGCCCGUCACGCCAUGGGAAUUGGUUUCACUCGAAGCU
rnacentral:rRNA from 1 species